UAGGGAAUCUUCGGGAAUGGACGAAAGUCUGACCGAGCAACGCCGCGUGAGUGAAGAAGGUUUUCGGAUCGUAAAACUCUGUUGUUAGAGAAGAACAAGGACGUUAGUAACUGAACGUCCCCUGACGGUAUCUAACCAGAAAGCCACGGCUAACUACGUGCCAGCAGCCGCGGUAAUACGUAGGUGGCAAGCGUUGUCCGGAUUUAUUGGGCGUAAAGCGAGCGCAGGCGGUUUCUUAAGUCUGAUGUGAAAGCCCCCGGCUCAACCGGGGAGGGUCAUUGGAAACUGGGAGACUUGAGUGCAGAAGAGGAGAGUGGAAUUCCAUGUGUAGCGGUGAAAUGCGUAGAUAUAUGGAGGAACACCAGUGGCGAAGGCGGCUCUCUGGUCUGUAACUGACGCUGAGGCUCGAAAGCGUGGGGAGCAAACAGG
rnacentral:rRNA from 1 species